GAGAUGAGCUGCUGGCCUGAUGGCAA
rnacentral:piRNA from 1 species